GGAUGUAAGGAUGAUCUGGCUGUGGCAUCUGUUGUCUUUGUGAUUGCCAGGGUUGAUUUGGCUGAUAUGGCUGGUGAAGCAGCUGUUUCCUUCUUCCCUUACUACUUC
rnacentral:snRNA from 1 species